AACGAACGCUGGCGGCAUGCCUAACACAUGCAAGUCGAACGAGACCUUCGGGUCUAGUGGCGCACGGGUGCGUAACGCGUGGGAACCUGCCCUUAGGUUCGGAAUAACUCCCCGAAAGGGGUGCUAAUACCGGAUAAUGUCUUCGGACCAAAGAUUUAUCGCCUUUGGGUGGGCCCGCGUUGGCUUAGCUCGUUGGUAGGGUAACAGCCUACCAAGGCGACGAUCCAUAGCUGGUCUGAGAGGAUGAUCAGCCACACUGGGACUGAGACACGGCCCAGACUCCGACGGGAGGGAGCAGUGGGGAAUAGUGGAGAAUGGGGGAAAGCCUGAUGGAGCAAUGACGGGUGAGUGAUGAAGGGGUUAGGGUUGUAAAGCUCUUUUACCCGGGAUGAUAAUGACAGUAACGGGAGAAUAAGCGCCGGCUAACUCCGUG
rnacentral:rRNA from 1 species